UACGUAGGUGGCUAGCGUUGUCCGGAUUUACUGGGCGUAAAGAGCGCGCAGGCGGUCGUUCAAGUCGAGUGUGAAAGCCCCCGGCUCAACUGGGGAGGGUCACUCGAUACUGAUCGACUUGAAGGCGGGAGAGGGAAGCGGAAUUCCCGGUGUAGUGGUGAAAUGCGUAGAUAUCGGGAGGAACACCAGUGGCGAAGGCGGCUUUCUGGCCCAUUCUUGACGCUGAGGCGCGAAAGCUAGGGUAGCAAACGGG
rnacentral:rRNA from 1 species